rnacentral:tRNA from 1 species
CGAGUAGCGAUCCAUUGGCGUGGUUGCCCCACUUGGACUGGGGAUUAUUUGUAGGUUCGAUCCCUACCUAUUCGAC